rnacentral:rRNA from 1 species
GGAUGUCCCUAGAGAUAGGGAGUUCCCUUCGGGGACCGAAUGACAGGUGGUGCAUGGUUGUCGUCAGCUCGUGUCGUGAGAUGUUGGGUUAAGUCCCGCAACGAGCGCAACCCUUGAUCUUAGUUGCCAGCAUUAAGUUGGGCACUCUAAGGUGACUGCCGGUGACAAACCGGAGGAAGGUGGGGAUGACGUCAAAUCAUCAUGCCCCUUAUGACCUGGGCUACACACGUGCUACAAUGGAUGGAACAAAGGGCAGCGAAGCGGCAACGCAUUAGCAAAUCCCAUAAAUCCAUUCUCAGUUCGGAUUGCAGGCUGCAACUCGCCUGUAUGAAGCCGGAAUCGCUAGUAAUCGUGGAUCAGCAUGCCACGGUGAAUACGUUCCCGGGCCUUGUACACACCGCC